AAGGGGGAGAUAAUGGCUGAUGUUGUCAACUUUUUGAGGACCAAAGGAUUCACUAGACACUUUGGAAGUGGAGGGAACUCAUCCACAAGUGGACAUACUUCUUGAUUGGAUUGGGGUGGCAUUUUUGACGUGCAACAAUGAUGUAAUUUGUUUGAAUGUUCAUUUUUGUUUGAUAAGGAUACACAUACAGUUACACUAGUUAUUGUUGGAUUUUUGGUGGAAUUGAACAAGUUAUAACUUUUGGAUAUUUUGUGGAUAUUUCACUAUUUUAUUAUAUCAGGAUGAAAUUAUUUGUAA